AUUGAACGCUGGCGGAAUGCUUUACACAUGCAGGUCGAACGGCAGCACGGACUUCGGUCUGGUGGCGAGUGGCGAACGGGUGAGUAAUGUAUCGGAACGUGCCCAGUCGUGGGGGAUAACGUAGUGAAAAUUACGCUAAUACCGCAUACGAUCUAUGGAUGAAAGCGGGGGAUCGCAAGACCUCGCGCGAUUGGAGCGGCCGAUAUCAGAUUAGGUUGUUGGUGAGGUAAAAGCUCACCAAGCCUGCGAUCUGUAGCUGGUCUGAGAGGACGACCAGCCACACUGGAACUGAGACACGGUCCAGACUCCUACGGGAGGCAGCAGUGGGGAAUUUUGGACAAUGGACGCAAGUCUGAUCCAGCAAUGCCGCGUGCAGGACGAAGGCCUUCGGGUUGUAAACUGCUUUUGUACGGAACGAAAAGGUUUCUACUAAUACUAGGAGCUCAUGACGGUACUGUAAGAAUAAGCACCGGCUAACUACGUGCCAGCCGCCGCAGUAA
rnacentral:rRNA from 1 species